rnacentral:lncRNA from 1 species
AAGCUUAGUUCCAGUUUACAGUGGACAUUAAUCCAACUUAGAUUUCCAGCAGAAGAGAGUUUCACCUGUUUCUGAGCUGCUACAUCUCCUCCUUUUGGCCCCUUUUCUACUUUUCAACAGUGCAAAAUUGUUUUAGCCAAAUAGGCUAAGACCUUGUCUGAUGUGUUUCUGGCAAACUGCACAUCUCUAACACCCAACAAGAAAGAGUCGGGCCGCCCUUGGGGGCCUUUCACUUCACGGCCCAUCUUUGGUGCUGUCUUCAGAGUUGCCGGACGCAGGUGACAAGACAAUCGUUUCCAUCAUGUCCUUGCCCUUUUUUGUCAGCCCCAGAGACAACGUCUCCUCUCUUGUUCAGGAAGAUUCUAGCGGAAACAGGCAGUAUUCCUUUGCCUAAGCAUGAAAUGGGGUUUCCCAAACAGGCGUGUGUAUUGGACGCCUCUGGCGGAGAGCAGGCUGUCGCCGAGGCCCGGCCUUGCGAGCGGAGCGCACUAUAAAGCGGCACGUGCUGCAACCCGCGUCCGCCUUGUGGAGAGAAAUGCUGGGGUGCAGCUUCAAGCUUAGGACCACCCACCAUGCCCAUCCAGGUGCUGAAGGGCCUGACCAUCGCUUGGUAAGAACAGAGGAGGCUGCCCGUGACUCGUGAUGCGUCCCUCCAGGCUCUCUGCUGUUUACUGCCUAGGCGUGGCUGCACCCACCCACCUGGGCCGGAGCUGGUUCUGCUCCUGCUACAGGGACACUGAGCUCCUGGCUGUCUCGGCGCUUUGGGCAAGAACCGCAACAAGCUCUCCUGGGCCCUGCAGGUGUACGGCCGGGCCCCUGCCUUGUGCCCCAUCUCUCGAGAACUGCUGCUGCUGGGCGACCUGAUCCAACCUGACAGGGUGCCAUCUUCAGCUACCACUGCAAGGCCCUGAGGGCAACAGCAGCGUGGCACUGCCCACCUGGCUGCUGGUGGCCUGGUGCCAGCUGGGAGUCCUCCCAGCACUUCGAGGCCACUGAGCCGCCCUUCCAGCCCUGGCCCACCAUGGAGAGGGGUAUCCAGCUUCCUCUUCAACCUCGUCUGCCCCUGAGCCAGUGACGCCCAAGGACACGUCUGUUAUGUUACCCAGGGCCUGUACCAGCGCCAGCUGGUCAAGGGCAUGACGUUGUUCUAGGCCGUCCUGGACAUCCAGGCCAUG